CAGGUUGCCCUCCCGGUACAGGACUCUCAAGGAUCAGGAUCUCGUGAAUACACAGGACAAGCGACCUUAGCCUCUCCCUGCAAGGCCACUGUGAUCUCAGCGGCGCUACAGCAAGCGGUGUGUGCGGGUUGCUAUGACUACCGAGCAUGGGGAUGAUGUCAUCGGGACAGCGCUCGGAGUCCACCGGAAGCACCACGCCGAUAUGAAGCUGCACACGCCAGCAUGGGGAGGUUAUUUAGGCUUUUACCAGAACUGAGCAAACUUUGAAAACAGUAUAAAAAAAGAACACAUUUAAAAUUUGUUUGGUAUUAUCAGAUGUU